AACACUUGUAAAAUUUCUUUACAAAAAUCAUAUUACCAAUCUCUUCCUUUGCAUCUUGCUUAUAUGCCAAAGCAGUGAAUAUAGACUGCUUAUUCUUCCAUAAUCCCAACAUUUCAGCUUCCACCUUGUUCCAAAUUUUAGCACAUCUUACUGAAGUACUAAGCUCAUAAUCACCAAUUCAUUUCAAACCAUAUAACUCAUACUCAGCAUCCCAUGUAAUAUUAGUCAUCUCAUAAAACAAUAUCUUUGUAGAAACACAUAAUGGGUACCCAGCAGAUAUGCCAAUACAGAAAUCACAUUUAUGGGCACACAACUACACACUCUGUCUCCCUCCUAGGAAACACAGAUAGACACAAUAUAAAAGCAAUCUUAAACUAACACCUCCAAAUCUCCAACUAUUCUUGGCCAAAAAGCUAGUAUUCAACAACUAAUAAAACAGUUAUUUGCUAGGUUAUUUGGCUGUCAUUCUUAUCAGUAUCACUAGACUGUGACAAACUGAUUCACAUAUAAUUUAAAACAAUACAGCAACAUAUACAUUAAACCACUUUCAAGUUAAACUGCACACUUAUCACACAUUAUCACAAUCACCAUUUACACAGAAUAAACAGUUAACAGCUGUAUUCAGAACAUAUUAUUGGAAAGUAUACCAAUUUUAGUUUAGAUUUAUUUUAGGGAUUCUUAUGUAUACAUUUUCUUAAUUAACUUCAUUACUUUAAUCUACUAUAGUAUUGUAUUUAAAGAAAGGAUCCAUUUAUAUAGCGCGCUCAUAACUCAACUAUUUGUAUAAAACUACCAUUAACUAAUCUGAGAUGAUGCUGCAUCAACUUAAAUCUUACAGAAAUUGAACAAACAUCUGGACCAGAUUAAACAGACAUGGUUUCACCUGAAUCUUUCAGAACUCUCAGAGACUUAAAAAAUUUAUACUAUACCAUGUUUUAAAGGCAUGGCAAACCUUUAGACCGGUCAGUCUCCAAGAGCCCUUUGUAAUACAGGUAAAAAACCUUUGUCCAUGAUUUCUGAUUCAGGCUAUAUACCACAAUUUAAAAUAACACAUAAUGUGAGACAUAGAAGACACAAGCAGUAGUUAUUACACUGGAUCAUUUAAAAGGAACCUGUUGCAAUAAAAAGGUUAGUUUACAGUGCAAAAUAAAGCAUGUGUUGGACCGCUGAAAAUGUAAAUGUUGCUCUGUUAUUUUCAAACAAAAAUUAUAUUUACAGUAUGGAUCCUUUGCAACAAACACACAGGGCAGGGAAGAUGUGCUGAUUGGUGUUCUAUACAAUUAAUCCCAUACGGGGAAUUAACUUUCAAAUACUAAUGAAGUGACUUUUUGUCUCAGUUAUAAAAUAUACUGAGCUCAUCAUGCAAACAAUGUAACACAUUUACACUAUCCCACUCUCAUAAUAAGUGUAGUGGGCUUAUAGUAUUUUUAAAGCAACAAUCAUUCCAGGCACACAGUUCCCAUGUGAAAUAACUUACAAUAAAACAGAGUAAUAAACUUAUACUUCUAU